GACAGAGGUGCCAAGCGUUAGGCGGAAUCACUGGGCUUAAAGCGUGUGUAGGUGGAUGUCUAAGUACCUUGUGAAAUCCCACGGCUCAACCGUGGAACUGCUCGGUAUACUGGAUGUCUUGAGCCACUUAGGGGCUACCGGAACAAAUGGUGGAGCGGUGAAAUGCGUAGAUAUCAUUUGGAACGCCAAUGGUGAAAACAGCUCGCUGGGGAUGAUACUGACGCUGAGACACGAAAGCCAGGGGAGCAAACGGG
rnacentral:rRNA from 1 species